rnacentral:SRP_RNA from 1 species
GGGAGGUCGGCGGCGGACGUGCUCCUCGCCAACCCGGUCAGGACCGGAAGGUAGCAGCCGCAACGAGUUCUAGUGCGGGUCGCGGUUCGGCCUCCCACC